rnacentral:rRNA from 1 species
UCAUUAGAGAGUUUGAUCCUGGCUCAGGAUGAACGCUGGCGGCGUGGAUAAGGCAUGCAAGUCGUACGAGCCAGUGCUUCGCACUGGAAAUUCGAAAUUCGAAUAUCGAAAUCCGAAACAAUAUCCAAACUCGAAAUUCUAAACUAAAAACAUUUGGAAUUUGAGUAUUGUAAUUUUGAGUUUGUUUCGUAUUUCGGAUUUAGGAUUUCGUGCUUCCAACGCGAAGCGUUGGCGAGUGGCAGACGGGGUAGUAAUACGUAGAUACUUACCCCAGAGACGGGCAUAACCCCGCGAAAGCGGGGCUAAUUCCCGAUAGUUCCCGUGAGGGUAAAGUCGUAAGACGCUCUGGGAAAGGUCUGCGGGCUAUCAGCUUGUUGGCAGGGUAAAAGCCUACCAAGGCUAUGACGGCUAGGGGGAGUGAGAGCUCGCCCCCCACCAAUGGCACUGCGACACGGGCCAUACACCUACGGGUGGCAGCAGUCGAGAAUAUUCGACAAUGGGCGAAAGCCUGAUCGAGCGACGCCGCGUGCAGGAAGAAAUCCUUCGGGACGUAAACUGCUUUUAUGGGAGAUGAACGCAAGUGACAGUAUCCCAUGAAUAAGGGCUUGCUAACCUCGUGCCAGCAGCCGCGGUAAUACGAGGAGCCCAAGCGUUAUCCGGAUUUACUGGGCGUAAAGGGUGUGUAGGAGGUUUAAUGAGUCUUUUGUUAAAUAUCGCCGCCCAACGGCGAAAAUGCAGGGGAUACCAUUGAACUCGGAGGACGCGAGAGGUAGACGGAACUCUGGGUGUAGGAGUGAAAUCCAUUGAUAUCCAGGGGAACACCAAAGGCGAAGGCAGUCUACUGGCGCGUUCCUGACUCUGAAACACGAAAGCGCGGGUAUGGAAAAGGAUUGGCAUGGGUAUCCAACUUUAUUGAUAUAAUUAAAGUUGGCUGCUAGUCCCUUCCAUUGGCGACAAUGGAAUGCAAACUCGGCUAUAUCGGUAGAAAUCCGUUUUUAAAAAACGGAAAAUACCGAGGGAAGUUCUGGAAACUUAUACGUGUGUUUAUGGCAAAUAUACGAUAAUUAAAAAAUUGUGGUUUGCAGUUAAAAAAUAUAUAUUGCCUAAAUACAAGUAUAAGUUUCCAGUAACCCCGUAGAGACUAUACGCCGAGCCCGCCACAACUUUAUAGAUGUUGGCGGGAUGAUAUAGUCCGAUCUUCGUGGUAACACGGAGAGAGCGGCAGAAAUGUUCGCUCCUUAACCGAUGAUUAAUAAGUUCGGUUUAAGUAACAAUGAUGUAGAUACCCUUGUACUCCGCGCCCUAAACGAUGGAGGCUAGAUAUUCGAAGUAUCGACCCUUUGAGUGUCGAAGCUAACGCGUUAAGCCUCCCGCCUGGGGAGUACGGCCGCAAGGCUAAAACUCAAAGGAAUAGACGGGGACUCGCACAAGCGGUGGAGCAUGUGGUUUAAUUCGAUGGUAAGCGAAGAACCUCACCAGGGCUUGAAAUCCAGACGACAAUUUGCCGAAAGGCAGGUUUUCUCACAAGGACGGCUGGACAGGCGCUGCAUGGCUGUCGUCAGCUCGUGGCUUGAGUUGUUCCCUUCAGUGGGGUAACGAGCGCAACCCCCAUUGCCUGUUAUAUAUGUCAGGCGAAACUGCCCCGCCCUCUAUGCUUUAACAAUGACCGCGUCGGUCGUUGUAAAUCUUCAACACAAUAAGUUUGUAAAGAGGAUUUAAAGUAGAGCUUAGAGGGCGGGGAGGAAGGUGGGGAUGACGCCAAGUCAGCAUGGCCCUCUGAUGCCCUGGGCUACACACGUGCUACAAUGGCCGGUUCAAAGGGUCGCCAAGCCGUAAGGCGGAGCUAAUCCCAUCAAAGCCGGCCCCAAUUCGGAUCGAGGUCUGCAACCUGACCUCGUGAAGCCGGAAUCGCUAGUAAUCGCGGAUCAGAACGCCGCGGUGAAUACGUUCUCGAGUCUUGUACUCGGGUCGCCAUGCGAUCCGUGUAUCUAGCUGGUGACCGAAGCACAUAACGUUUUAUGCGCUCGGAAGUCCAGCCGUUUCUUUGCGGUAGAAACGAAGCAAAAUCACAGCCCGU